UACGUAGGGGGCGAGCGUUGUCCGAAUUUACUGGGCGUAAAGAGCGCGUAGGCGGGUUAUUAAGUGAGAGGUGAAAGGUUCAGGGCUCAACCCGAACAGUGCCUUUCAUACUGGGAGCCUUGAGUGUGGGAGAGGCGAGUGGAAUUUCUGGUGUAGCGGUGAAAUGCGUAGAUAUCAGAAGGAACACCCAUGGCGAAGGCAGCUCGCUAGCCUACAACUGACGCUGAGGCGCGAAAGCGUGGGGAGCAAACAGG
rnacentral:rRNA from 1 species